rnacentral:rRNA from 1 species
GAUGAACGCUGGCGGCGUGCCUAAUACAUGCAAGUCGAGCGAACAGACGAGGAGCUUGCUCCUCUGACGUUAGCGGCGGACGGGUGAGUAACACGUGGAUAACCUACCUAUAAGACUGGGAUAACUUCGGGAAACCAGAGCUAAUACCGGAUAAUAUAUUGAACCGCAUGGUUCAAUAGUGAAAGACGGUUUUGCUGUCACUUAUAGAUGGAUCCGCGCCGCAUUAGCUAGUUGGUAAGGUAACGGCUUACCAAGGCAACGAUGCGUAGCCGACCUGAGAGGGUGAUCGGCCACACUGGAACUGAGACACGGUCCAGACUCCUACGGGAGGCAGCAGUAGGGAAUCUUCCGCAAUGGGCGAAAGCUUGACGGAGCAAUGCCGCGUGAGUGAUGAAGGUCUUCGGAUCGUAAAACUCUGUUAUUAGGGAAGAACAAAUGUGUAAGUAACUAUGCACGUCUUGACGGUACCUAAUCAGAAAGCCACGGCUAACUACGUG